rnacentral:rRNA from 1 species
CACGUAGGGCGCAAGCGUUGUCCGGAAUUAUUGGGCGUAAAGAGCUCGUAGGUGGUUUGUUACGUCUGCUGUGAAAACCUAGGGCUUAACCCUGGGCUUGCAGUGGAUACGGGCAGACUAGAGGUAGGUAGGGGAGAAUGGAAUUCCUGGUGUAGCGGUGAAAUGCGUAGAUAUCUGGAGGAACACCGGUGGCGAAGGCGGCAUCCUGGACCAACACUGACGCUGAGUGAGCGAAAGGCCAGGGGAGCAAAGCGGG